rfam:Pteropus alecto contig105744, whole genome shotgun sequence.
GUCUAUGGCCAUGCCACCCUGAACAAGCCCUAUGUCUGAUCUUGGUAGCUAAGCAGCGUCGGGCCUGGUUAGUACUUGGAUGGGAGAUCACCUGGAAAGAUCAGGUGCUGUAGGCA